AGAGUCGGCCAUUCCGUCGCCCGCCAAGAGGUUAACACCAAAAGUGGCGGGAGGAAAGUCCGGGCAACGAGAGCAACAUGUUUCCUAACGGGAAGCGGCUGGCAACAGUCGGGCAAUGUGACAGAAAAUAACCGCCUCAGGAGUUUUCCGAAGGUAAGGGUGAAAAGGCGGGGUAAGAGCCCACCGGACGCUUUAGCGAUAUGGCGUGCCGCACACCCCAUGCGUUGCAAGGUCAAAUAUACCGGCACGAAUUGAAUAAUACUCAUUAAAUCACGUUGUUGACAGAAUGGUAUAUAUUCUAUUCACAAGAGCUGCUCGCUCUUGCCGGGGGGUAGACUGCUAUAGGCGCGUGGCGACACGUGUCAAAGAUAAAUGACGGAACGGGACCGGGCAACCGGUCCCCGACAUAACCCGGCUUACCGGCCGUCUCUCUCU
rnacentral:RNase_P_RNA from 1 species